rnacentral:rRNA from 1 species
CACGAGGGGAACAAGCGAUAUCCUGGCAUGACUGGGCGUAAAAGAGUUAAUUGCUGUCUGACACGAUGUUGAGAUAAAAGUAAAUUAUAAUUUCAAAAAAACGGUGCAGACUUUGAGGACGAAAGAAGUAAAUGGUACUCUCUAAUUUUAGGGGUGACAUCACAGUCACAUUAGAUGGAACCAUCAGUGGGUGAUUGCGUUUACUUGUGUCGUUUAAUUUUAUUUCCUGGACGCUGAAAGACGAAAGUGUGGGAGCAAACAG